AGAGUUUGAUCCUGGCUCAGGAUGAACGCUAGCUACAGGCUUAACACAUGCAAGUCGAGGGGCAGCAUGGUCUUAGCUUGCUAAGGCCGAUGGCGACCGGCGCACGGGUGAGUAACACGUAUCCAACCUGCCGAUGACUCGGGGAUAGCCUUUCGAAAGAAAGAUUAAUACCCGAUGGCAUAGUUCUUCCGCAUGGUGGAACUAUUAAAGAAUUUCGGUCAUCGAUGGGGAUGCGUUCCAUUAGGUUGUUGGCGGGGUAACGGCCCACCAAGCCUUCGAUGGAUAGGGGUUCUGAGAGGAAGGUCCCCCACAUUGGAACUGAGACACGGUCCAAACUCCUACGGGAGGCAGCAGUGAGGAAUAUUGGUCAAUGGACGAGAGUCUGAACCAGCCAAGUAGCGUGAAGGAUGACUGCCCUAUGGGUUGUAAACUUCUUUUAUACGGGAAUAAAGUGAGGCACGUGUGCCUUUUUGUAUGUACCGUAUGAAUAAGGAUCGGCUAACUCCGUGCCAGCAGCCGCGGUAAUACGGAGGAUCCGAGCGUUAUCCGGAUUUAUUGGGUUUAAAGGGAGCGUAGGCGGACGCUUAAGUCAGUUGUGAAAGUUUGCGGCUCAACCGUAAAAUUGCAGUUGAUACUGGGUGUCUUGAGUACAGUAGAGGCAGGCGGAAUUCGUGGUGUAGCGGUGAAAUGCUUAGAUAUCACGAAGAACUCCGAUUGCGAAGGCAGCUUGCUGGACUGUAACUGACGCUGAUGCUCGAAAGUGUGGGUAUCAAACAGGAUUAGAUACCCUGGUAGUCCACACAGUAAACGAUGAAUACUCGCUGUUUGCGAUAUACAGUAAGCGGCCAAGCGAAAGCGUUAAGUAUUCCACCUGGGGAGUACGCCGGCAACGGUGAAACUCAAAGGAAUUGACGGGGACCCGCACAAGCAGCGGAGCAUGUGGUUUAAUUCGAAGCAACGCGAAGAACCUUACCAGGGCUUGACAUCCCUCUGACAGAUCCUUAAACGGAUUUUUCUUCGGACAGAGGAGACAGGUGGUGCAUGGUUGUCGUCAGCUCGUGUCGUGAGAUGUUGGGUUAAGUCCCGCAACGAGCGCAACCCCUAUAUUCAGUAGCCAGCAGGUAAGGCUGGGCACUCUGGACAGACUGCCGGGGAUAACCCGGAGGAAGGCGGGGAUGACGUCAAAUCAUCAUGCCCCUUACGGCCUGGGCUACACACGUGCUACAAUGGCGUAAACAAAGGGAAGCGAGAGGGUGACCUGGAGCGAAUCCCAAAAAUAACGUCCCAGUUCGGACUGUAGUCUGCAACCCGACUACACGAAGCUGGAAUCGCUAGUAAUCGCGAAUCAGAAUGUCGCGGUGAAUACGUUCCCGGGUCUUGCACUCACCGCCCGUCAAG
rnacentral:rRNA from 1 species